rnacentral:rRNA from 1 species
AUUCCUACGGGAGGCAGCAGUUAGGAAUCUUCCACAAUGGGGGCAACCCUGAUGGAGCAACACCGCGUGCUGGAUGAAGGCCUUCGGGUCGUAAACAGCUUUUGUAUACGAAGAAUAUGACGGUAAUAUACGAAUAAGGGUCGGCUAACUACGUGCCAGCAGCCGCGGUAAUAAUC